rnacentral:rRNA from 1 species
CGGAUUGAAGGCUGAAAUUCGCCUUCAUGAAGCUGGAAUUGCUAGUAAUGGCAGGUCAGCAUACUGCCGUGAAUACGUUCCCGGGCCUUGUACACACCGCCCGUCACACCAUGAGAGUUGGGAAUACCCGAAGCCUGUGAGCUAACUUAUAGAGGCAGCAGUCGAAGGUAGAAUCAAUGAUUGGGGUGAAGUCGUAACAAGGUAAC